CACGGAGGGACAAUUUUGGUUUUUCCCCACUUUUAAGUGGGGUGACAAUUCUAAAUGAGGGGGUGAGAAAUCUAAUUCCCCUGGUUUUCUCAUUCUCUAACACCUUCUUCUGGAUUUUCAUGAAAUUUGAAUCUUGUAGGUCAAAGUGUUGUUGAGUUCUAUAUUGUUCAUGAAGGAAAGGGAGGACCCUUGAUUCCCAGUUAUUUGGAAUUGGUUUUGGUUUUGCGGCUCCGCUCCAUAAAUUGACUUUUUGUUAGAUGGUGCGUUUGACAAUUUCUAAGGUUAUAUUUUCAGGAAGAAAUACAUGGAAAUUAGGGCAACGGUGGUUCAAAUAUAAACAUGCAAUUGGAUGCUCAAUUGGAUUAGCGCUGAAAGAGAAGACAUCAGGGAAAAGGAUCAAUGGUUUUCAGGGACCCAAGCAAAUUAUUAUUUGCUUCAGCUGACUCACAUGUCGGUUAUACUUUCGGGAGUGGAUAUCAUCUGCAAAUUCAAGGGUAAUAUUAGUGAUUUUGAAACUCAUGUGAGGUGGUGCAUUAUUAGGCUUUCUAUAAGGCAUAAAAAGUGAAGUUUGACGAUGAUCCUGAAUUUAAGCUGAGGGUGCAGCAGGCUGUGAUCCUACUCCAGGUCAAUUAUAUCCUAAGAUUUUGACAAGGUCUAUCAACGACUUGGAGUUUGAUUGGAGGAAAUGGCUUGUCAAUCCCGGAUAGCAGAGCGGAGUUGCGAGCCCAAAAACGCUAUAGCAUUAUAGAAUCUAGCAGGAUGGCCACUACACUAAAGAAGGAGGAAGAAGGAGAAACAAGGAGGAGGAAGAAGGAAGAGGAAGGAGGAAGAAACUGGAAGAACGUUGGAGUCUUGACAGCGGCUGGUUGAGGCUUGUCGGCGGUGGCUAAGGGUGUGGUUAGCCGCUGAUGAGUCAAUCACCACGAAGACUGGGCUGUGGACCUUGUUUAUUGUUGUCAUAACACCCUUUUCUACUCCCUUUUACCAGUAGCAAAGAUGUCCUUGGUUAUUGACUUGUCUUGAGUUUUGGUGAUACCACCCUUAAAUAAUCAUUUGAGUUCCAAAAUCUUUUAUUUGAUAGUCAUUUUGUUUUAUUUUUCCUUUUCAUUUUUUACAAAGGGAAAAGUCAUGGACCAUGUCAUAUUACUAGUGCCACUCCCAAUAUUUUUCAGUUGUGCCUAGGUUUUCUACCGUGGUUGACCAGCGCUUAUCUGUGAUAUGGCUUGUAUGCUUCG